rnacentral:rRNA from 1 species
CAACCUGGCGGCGAGUGGCGAACGGGUGAGUAAUAUAUCGGAACGUACCCAAGAGUGGGGGAUAACGUAGCGAAAGUUACGCUAAUACCGCAUACGAUCUAUGGAUGAAAGUGGGGGAUCGCAAGACCUCAUGCUCCUGGAGCGGCCGAUAUCUGAUUAGCUAGUUGGUNNGGUAAAGGCNNACCAAGGCGACGAUCAGUAGCUGGUCUGAGAGGACGACCAGCCACACUGGAACUGAGACACGGUCCAGACUCCUACGGGAGGCAGCAGUGGGGAAUUUUGGACAAUGGGCGCAAGCCUGAUCCAGCAAUGCCGCGUGAGUGAAGAAGGCCUUCGGGUUGUAAAGCUCUUUUGUCAGGGAAGAAACGGUGAGGGCUAAUAUCUCUUGCUAAUGACGGUACCUGAAGAAUAAGCACCGGCUAACUACGUGCCAGCAGCCGCGGUAAUACGUAGGGUGCAAGCGUUAAUCGGAAUUACUGGGCGUAAAGCGUGCGCAGGCGGUUUUGUAAGUUUGUCGUGAAAGCCCCGGGCUCAACCUGGGAAUGGCGAUGAAGACUGCAAGGCUUGAAUCUGGCAGAGGGGGGUAGAAUUCCACGUGUAGCAGUGAAAUGCGUAGAGAUGUGGAGGAACACCGAUGGCGAA